UCUACGGGUGGCAGCAGUCGAGAAUCAUUCACAAUGGGGGAAACCCUGAUGGUGCGACGCCACGUGGGGGAAUGAAGGUCUUCGGAUUGUAACCUCCUGUCAUGUGGGAGCAAAUUAAAAAGAUAGUACCACAAGAGGAAGAGACGGCUAACUCUGUGCCAGCAGCCGCGGUAAUACAGAGGUCUCAAGCGUUGUUCGGAAUCACUGGGCGUAAGGCGGGCGUUGGCUGUUUCGUAAGUCGUGUGUGAAAGGCGCGGGCUAAAGCCGCGAAGGGCACAUGAUACUGCGAGAUUAGAGUAAUGGAGGGGGAACCGGAAUUCGCGGUGUAGCAGUGAAAUGCGUAGAUAUCGAGAGGAACACUCGUGGCGAAGGCGGGUUCCUGGACAUUAACUGACGCUGAGGCACGAAGGCCAGGGGAGCGAAAGGGAUUAGAUACCCUAGUAGUC
rnacentral:rRNA from 1 species